AGUCUCAUGAUGUAAUGGUCAGCACACUGGACUCUGAAUCCAGAAGUCCCACUUCGAGUCUGGGUGAGACUG
rnacentral:tRNA from 1 species